rnacentral:lncRNA from 1 species
CCAGAUCAAACAUAUGGUUAAUCAGUUUUGGGAAGAGGCUAAUGGUUGGUUUGUUAUUGGUGCACAGAAGAUUGCUUACUGCUUCGGUGCUUGCUGAUUGACAUAAUUUAUAAUUUAUUUAUACAGGUGAUUGUUAAGUGCUUUGACAUGUCAUGACACUAAUUUCCUAUUGCAAGUACAAAGUAUGCAUAUCGUCAAAACAUUGAUCAUGAAUAAAUGCAAAACAUUUUGCUUAGGUUUUGAUUUAAUACUGGUUCAUGUCAAAGUGUGGUGAAACUUAUCUCGUGUUAGUAUACUAUAGUGGCGUUGUUCAAUUUUUUAAUUUCAAAUCGGGUAAACCAUACAUGUACUGUUGACAUGCUAAAUUGCUAAUGUUCAUAUAUAAGGAGUUCAGGUGGCAUUUCUUUUUUGAUCUCAUAACUCAGUGGAAAGUUGCAUGCCAGUAUCACAUUUCAGAACUUCACUGAUCAUCAGUGUUUGACCAUAUAAAGUUGUCACUUUAUUCUCUUUCCUUAUGUUAUCAAUAAAUUAUAUAAAUGAUUGAUCAGAUUAUGUUCAGUUUUUGAACCACAAUGAUGUUGAGUUUUUUUAGUACUCCCUCCGUCCCAAAAUAGUAGGGGGCAAUUCCUUGUGUGCCAUAGGAAAUUAUACUCGUUCCUUGUGUGCCACUGGCCCCAUAUAUCAUACACACACAAAAAAUUCCAUAUAUGUCACUCAAUAGCACACAAGGAAUGAGUAUAAAAUUCAAUGGUACAUAGGGAAACUUUCCAAAUAGUAGUUGUUUUAGCUCUUAAUUUUUAUGUCUAUAUUCAAAUGGAAUCUAGACAUAUACCAAACAUAUACAUUAAGUGUUGCAUGAACCCACUAAUUUGCUAAAACGAAUUUUAUUUUGAGACAGAGGGAGUAUUACUAAAUGUACAUAUAGUUCCAUGUUUGCAUUUGGUUUAGUGGCAUCUUUUUUUCUGCCAGGUUAUUUGACAUAAUAAUCUUUUUAUAUGCUGGGUUCGAUGUGUACAUGAACCACAAAUUAGUAGUUUAGUACAGUGAACCCCCUCUUAUCAUUCCAUUGCAUAUAUAACAUGUGUAUGUAUCGGUGAAUGGUAGUCACCCUUUGUCUGUGCUUGAGUACAGGUGCAGAAACUGGAUGAGAUGGGCUAAACCUUUCCCUGAAUCUAGCUAACCUGCUGCGGUUGCCUUGUAACCUUGCUUUGCUGAUUUUUAUUUUUACUUUGACAUUUCUUUUGCAAUUUCUGCUCAUUCAAGGAUGUUGUGUCUCUUUUGCAGGUUGUCAAGUAUUCUUGGUGGCUAUGUAUUGCAACAAUAAUUUAAAUUGAUCAUUCUGGUGAGUUUUGGUGUGCUCUUGGCCUUUUGUCAGGGUGGUACUGUGUGUCUGUGCAUUUAGGUGAGAUUUGCUAAGUUGCAAGUAUGUCAACUUGAGUAGGAAAAUUUCAAUUAAAAGUAUCUGAGAACUGGUAGGAAAUUCGUGGCUGAAAGACAUGUACGACUACCUAGCCUCUUCAACAUAAUCUUAGUUACAGUUCGGUAACCUGUGAACCUACUGGUAAAGAUAAACAUGUGCUUGUUUAAGAACCAUUGUAUUUUCUUCUAUUGAUUUUCAUGAUCAAUUGCUGGGUUAUAGAUUAAAUUCCAUGAUCAAUUCCAUGCUAAGUUGCAAUUUCUAUUGAUUUUCAUGAUCAAUUGUCUUCUAUUGAUCAGCAGUGCUGGGCGGGGUUGACAGAGAGUUAGAUGACGCUGACGUUGUCGUGGUAGACAAGUGUGCUACUGGUGAGGGGACUGUGAAGCUCCUGGAGGAGCUGAGUUGGUGCAUCCAGCUUGCCUUAGCCACCCCAUUGUCGACAACUAGGUACUCACCCUCAGCACACUGGAGCGUGAGACCACAUGCUGACACUCACUUGGAGGACUAAGAGAUGAGGUUGGCCACAAGAAACACUGCAUAGCCAGAGGUAGACCGAUGGGUGUCCGAGUGCUCAUGUCUAGAGGAGUGCUCGCAUACGGUCGUUUUGGUAGAGCGGGAGUAUUUCAACUAUGGUAAAUUUUAAUAUUUCAAUAUGGAGACUCCAAGAGCCGUUCCGUUCCUCUUUUGUUUGAAGCCAAACAUCCAAAAAAUAAGAAUGAAAUAGUUACAUUCUCUUCCAUUCAACCAAACACACCCUUAAUCUGACUUACCACUCGAAUGAGGUAGCAAUUCAUUAUUACCAUCUAAGCCAAUGGCUAUGGUAACAUGCGAACAAAUAGUGACGAGUACCAACAAUAAUAAGCAACUUCAUAUUUGG